UACAGAGGUCUCAAGCGUUGUUCGGAUUCAUUGGGCGUAAAGCGUGCGUAGGCGGCGCGGUAAGUCGGGUGUGAAAUCUCGGAGCUUAACUCCGAAACUGCAUUCGAUACUGCCGUGCUUGAGGACUGGAGAGGAGACUGGAAUUUACGGUGUAGCGGUGAAAUGCGUAGAUAUCGUAAGGAAGACCAGUGGCGAAGGCGGGUCUCUGGACAGUUCCUGACGCUGAGGCACGAAGGUCAGGGGAGCAAACGGG
rnacentral:rRNA from 1 species